rnacentral:rRNA from 1 species
GAUGAACGCUGGCGGCGUGCCUAACACAUGCAAGUCGAACGGAGUUUAUUUUACAGAUUUUCUUCGGAAUUGAAGUAGCUUAAACUUAGUGGCGGACGGGUGAGUAACGCGUGGGUAACCUGCCUCAUACUGGGGGAUAACAACCGGAAACGGUUGCUAAAACCGCAUAAUAUGCAAACAUCACAUGAUGAUUGCAUUAAAUAUUUAUAGGUAUGAGAUGGGCCCGCGUCUGAUUAGCUAGUUGGUGAGAUAAAAGCUCACCAAGGCGACGAUCAGUAGCCGGCUUGAGAGAGUGACCGGCCACAUUGGGACUGAGACACGGCCCAAACUCCUACGGGAGGCAGCAGUGGGGAAUAUUGCACAAUGGGGGAAACCCUGAUGCAGCGACGCCGCGUGAGUGAAGAAGUAUUUCGGUAUGUAAAGCUCUAUCAGCAGGGAAGAAAAUGACGGUACCUGACUAAGAAGCCCC